ACGACCAGUUUCUGCUGCUGGUAUUUUUAAAUACGGGGAGCAGGAGUGUUUGCUGGCAGACAAGUGUGAUUAAUGGGUGUGCUGUUAGCAUUCCUGGCUGAAUCUGCUGUGUCACCGAGCUCAGCUGGCUCAAAGAACAUUGCAGCCUUUGCACUGACAAACGCUCAGCCCCGAUGGUGGGAGGAAUCCCAGCACAGCCCCUGUGGGCCGUUUCAAGACUGCACUUCCCAUGCUAGUCCAGGCUGCUGCUGCUCCCCAAACAGUUAAGAUGUCAG